AGCGAACGCUGGCGGCAGGCCUAACACAUGCAAGUCGAACGGACCCUUCGGGGUUAGUGGCGGACGGGUGAGUAACACGUGGGAACGUGCCUUUAGGUUCGGAAUAGCUCCUGGAAACGGGUGGUAAUGCCGAAUGUGCCCUUCGGGGGAAAGAUUUAUCGCCUUUAGAGCGGCCCGCGUCUGAUUAGCUAGUUGGUGAGGUAACGGCUCACCAAGGCGACGAUCAGUAGCUGGUCUGAGAGGAUGACCAGCCACACUGGGACUGAGACACGGCCCAGACUCCUACGGGAGGCAGCAGUGGGGAAUCUUGCGCGAUGGGCGAAAGCCUGACGCAGCCAUGCCGCGUGAAUGAUGAAGGUCUUAGGAUUGUAAAAUUCUUUCACCGGGGACGAUAAUGACGGUACCCGGAGAAGAAGCCCCGGCUAACUUCGUG
rnacentral:rRNA from 1 species